GCAGUCAUGUAUGGUGCUACAACUGCAUGUUGUACGUCCGUUUCUCACACCAGAUUCUAGGCUUUCAAAGGACAGAAGUGUUGCUGUCGCUCUACUGUAGCUCUCAUUGUAGCUCUAUUGUGGUUGCCUUCUGGGUGAAUGGAGCAGCAUCUACUAUGUGUCCACAUUUGCAAAGAGUAUGGCUUCCAGCCCUUUUUGUUGGAAUAAAAUUUUCACAGGGAAAUACCUCAACCCAGAGCAUGAAGAAGGACUUUAUAUAAGAGAUCAUGUGCAAGCUGUGUAUUCUGCUGGUUUACCAAUGCACUAGCUUCCGGUUGUCACUAUAAUGAACACCCACAGAUUUAUUGGUUCAAAACACACUUAGUAGCUUGAAGUUCUGAAGGUUAGAAGUUUGCAGUCACUGUCAUGGAGUUAAACCACAGCACGUCUAUGCUGUUUGAAGGCCGCAGGGAAGAAUCCUUGCCAUUUAAGCAUCUGGAAGCUGCCUACAUCCUUUGGCUUGUGAUUGCUUCUUCACGUGGCUCCAACCUUCUGCUGCCGGCUUCACUUCUAGAACUGUGAUUUCCUGCAUCCCUCUCUCAUGACUUUCCUGGGCCUACACGAAUAGUAAGGAUAAUCUCGUUUUUAUAAUUGUAUCUGCAAUAUCCCUUUUGUCAUAUAAGGUGACAUGUUUGCAGGUUCUGAGGAUUAGAGCCUGACUGUCUUACAGAAGGCCGUUGUCCAGUGAUUCUUUAGUGUCUUCUCAUCUGUUUGUGUUAGUUCUUCAUGCUAUGAAAGACCUGUGCUGCCCC
rnacentral:lncRNA from 1 species